UAUCUAGUGGCGGACGGGUGAGUAACACGUGGGUAACCUGCCUUAUGGAGGGGGAUAACAGAGAGAAAUCACUGCUAAUACCGCAUAAGCACACAGUACCGCAUGGUACAGGGUGAAAAGAUUUAUCACCAUAAGAUGGACCCGCGUCUGAUUAGCCAGUUGGCAGGGUAAAAGCCUACCAAAGCAACGAUCAGUAGCCGAUCUGAGAGGAUGACCGGCCACAUUGGGACUGAGACACGGCCCAAACUCCUACGGGAGGCAGCAGUGGGGAAUAUUGCACAAUGGGGGAAACCCUGAUGCAGCGACGCCGCGUGAGUGAAGAAGUAUUUCGGUAUGUAAAGCUCUAUCAGCAGGGAAGAUAAUGACAGUACCUGACUAAGAAGCCCCGGCUAACUACGUGCCAGCAGCCGCGGUAAUACGUAGGGGGCAAGCGUUAUCCGGAUUUACUGGGUGUAAAGGGAGCGUAGACGGAGUGGCAAGUCUGAAGUGAAAACCCUGGGCUUAACCUGGGGACUGCUUUGGAAACUGUUAAUCUAGAGUGUUGGAGAGGUAAGUGGAAUUCCUGGUGUAGCGGUGAAAUGCGUAGAUAUCAGGAAGAACACCGGAGGCGAAGGCGGCUUACUGGACAAUAACUGACGUUGAGGCUCGAAAGCGUGGGGAUCAAACAGGAUUAGAUACCCUGGUAGUCCACGCUGUAAACGAUGAAUACUAGGUGUCGGGGAGCAAAGCUUUUCGGUGCCGUCGCAAACGCAAUAAGUAUUCCACCUGGGGAGUACGUUCGCAAGAAUGAAACUCAAAGGAAUUGACGG
rnacentral:rRNA from 1 species